rnacentral:rRNA from 1 species
GUCCACGCCGUAACGAUGAUAACUAGCUGUUCGGGAUCUACGAUCCUGAGUGGCGCAGCUAACGCAUUAAGUUAUCCGCCUGGGGAGUACGGUCGCAAGAUUAAACUCAAAGGAAUUGACGGGGGCCUGCACAAGCGGUGGAGCAUGUGGUUUAAUUCGAAGCAACACGCAGAACCUUACCAGCGUUUGACAUCCUAAUCGCGGUUUUCAGAGAUGAUUACCUUCAGUUCGGCUGGAUUAGUGACAGGUGCUGCAUGGCUGUCGU